GACGGCCUACGGGGCGCAGCAGUAGGGAAUAUUGCUCAAUGGGGGAAACCCUGAAGCAGCAACGCCGCGUGGAGGAUGAAGGUUUUAGGAUUGUAAACUCCUUUUGUGAGAGAAGAUAAUGACGGUAUCUCACGAAUAAGCACCGGCUAACCCCGUGCCAGCAGCCGCGGUAAUACGGAGGGUGCAAGCGUUACUCGGAAUCACUGGGCGUAAAGAGUGCGCAGGCGGGCUUGUAAUUCCGAUGUGAAAUCCUGUAUCUUACCUACACAACUGCAUUU
rnacentral:rRNA from 1 species